CCUACGGGUGGCAGCAGUGAGGAAUAUUGGUCAAUGGGCGAGAGCCUGCACCAGCCAAGUCGCGUGAAGGAUGACGGCCCUACGGGUUGUAAACUUCUUUUGUCAGGGAGCAAUUGAGUCCACGUGUGGGCUUAGCGAGAGUACCUGAAGAAAAAGCAUCGGCUAACUCCGUGCCAGCAGCCGCGGUAAUACGGAGGAUGCGAGCGUUAUCCGGAUUUAUUUGGUUUAACGGGUUCGUAGGCGGAAUAUCAAGUCAGCGGUAAAAAUUCGGGGCUCAACCCCGUCGUGCCGUUGAAACUGCAUCCCUUGAGUGCGCGAGAAGUAUGCGGAAUGCGUGGUGUAGCGGGGAAAUGCAUAGAUAUCACGCAGAACUCCGAUUGCGAAGGCAGCAUACCGGCGCGCAACUGACGCUCAUGCACGAAAGCGUGGGUAUCGAACAGGAUUAGAUACCCCUGUAGUC
rnacentral:rRNA from 1 species